GAUGAACGCUGGCGGCGUGCCUAAUACAUGCAAGUCGAGCGAAUGGAUUAAGAGCUUGCUCUUAUGAAGUUAGCGGCGGACGGGUGAGUAACACGUGGGUAACCUGCCCAUAAGACUGGGAUAACUCCGGGAAACCGGGGCUAAUACCGGAUAACAUUUUGAACCGCAUGGUUCGAAAUUGAAAGGCGGCUUCGGCUGUCACUUAUGGAUGGACCCGCGUCGCAUUAGCUAGUUGGUGAGGUAACGGCUCACAAAGGCAACGAUGCGUAGCCGACCUGAGAGGGUGAUCGGCCACACUGGGACGGAGAAACGGCCCAGACUCCUACGGGAGGCAGCAGUAGGGAAUCUUCCGCAAUGGACGAAAGUCUGACGGAGCAACGCCGCGUGAGUGAUGAAGGCUUUCGGGUCGUAAAACUCUGUUGUUAGGGAAGAACAAGUGCUAGUUGAAUAAGCUGACACCUUGACGGUACCUAACCAGAAAGCCACGGCUAACUACGUGCCAGCCGCCGCAGUAA
rnacentral:rRNA from 1 species